CGGUAAUUCCAGCUCCAAUAGCGUAUACUAAAGUUGUUGCAGUUAAAAAGCUCGUAGUUGGAUUUCUGCGGGGACGGAGCGGCCGGACGCAACUUGCGUCUCGAGCUAGCGCUUUCCCCACAUCCUGCCGCGAACCGUGCUACCAUUAGUUUGGUGGCGCUGGGGAUCGGCUCGAUUACUUUGAGAAAGAUAGAGUGUUCAAAGCAGGCCACACGCCUUGAAUAAGUUAGCAUGGAAUAAUGACUAAGGACUUUGGUUCCUUUCGUUGGUGUUCGGGACUGAAGUAAUGAUUGAUAGGGACAGUUGGGGCGGUCCGUAUUCCAAAGCGAGAGGUGAAAUUCUUAGACCUUCAGAAGACGAACAGCUGCGAAAGCGUUCCGCAAGGAUGUUCCCUUUGAUCAAGAACGAAAGUUGGGGGAUCGAAGACGAUCAGAUACCGUCGUAGUCUCAACUAUAAACUAUACCAGCUAGGGAUCGGCCAACGUUUAAUUAUUCGACUUGGUCGGCACCUUAUGAGAAAUCAAAGCAUCUGGGUUCCGGGGGGAGUAUGGUCGCAAGGCUGAAACUUAAAGGAAUUGACGGAAGGGCACCACCAGGCGUGGAGCCUGUGGCUUAAUUUGACUCAACACGGGAAAACUUACCAGGUCCAGACAUAGGAAGGAUUGACAGAUUGAUAGCUCUUUCUUGAUUCUGUGGGUGGUGGUGCAUGGCCGUUUUUAGUCGGUGAAGUGAUUUGUCUGCUUAAUUGCGUUAACGGACGAGACCCCAGCCUGCUAAAUAGCGCGGCCGAGCUUUGCUCGGUACGAGCUUCUUAGAGGGACCAUGAUGCGCGAUAGCACAAGGAAGUUUGGGGCAACAACAGGUCUGUGAUGCCCUUAGAUGUUCUGGGCCGCACACGGGCUACACUGGCGCCUGCAACGAGCAUAUCAGCUGGCCUGAGAGGGUCUUGGCUAAUCUUUGGAACCGGCGCCGUGCUUGGGAUUGACCAUUGCAAUUGUUGGUCAUGCAACGAGGAAUGCCUUGUAAACGCGAGUCAUCAGCUCGCAUUGAAUACGUCCCUGCCCUUUGUACACACCGCCCGUCGCUCCUACCGAUGAAUGUUCCGAUGAAAUUUUCGGAGAGCGCCAGAGAACGGGGCUCUGCCUUGCAGAUCUGGAGGCUCAAAGUCACUUAAAUCUGAACAUUUCGAGGAAGGAGAAGUCGUAACAAGGUAACC
rnacentral:rRNA from 1 species